rnacentral:lncRNA from 1 species
UUCAGCUUUUGACAGCAUGAACUGUGCGAAUUAUAUUGUUAGGGAGAAUAGAAUGUGAACAACCUCGAAAUUUUUUAAUGUUGGAUUCUUGAGCAAGUACAGCUCAACAUAUGCUGUAAGAACAUUUCUAUGUGCAUACUAAAGUUUGGUGCCAUCUUAAUAUGGCACCACUUGUUUUGAUGCUAAAUAUAUUGCGGAAUACCUUCAUUUGUUUAUCAUAAAUUGGGACCUGCUGUUCUAUUUGUAAUACUUGCAAUAGCUAUUGAUAUCUGUUGAUUUGACCGCAUUUUGAAAUGCUUCUGUUUUUUAUGUGUAUUCCAGGGACCGAGAUUACGACAGAGAUCGGGAUUAUGGUAGGGGACGGGAAAGAGACCGAGAUAGAGACCGUGAAAGAGAUAGAGACAGGGAUAGAGAUCGGGAUCGGGAUCGGGAUCGAGACCGUCAUCGCAUACGAGAUGAGGACUACAGUCGAGAUAGGGACCGAGCAAGAGAUAGGGAUGGCAGGGAAAGAGAACGCCGGGACAGAGACCGUGGGAGGCGCAGGAGCCGUUCAAGGAGCAGGAGCAGGGAUCGACGAGAAAGAGACCGAGAAGAUGGAGAGUACCGUAGGAGGCGUGAUCGGGGUAGUGCCAGUCCUCGAGGUCAUGCGGAGGAUGGUGGCUCAAGAGAUGAGCCGAAGAAGAGAAAGGAAAAGAAAGAGAAGAAGAGUGAAGGAAAUGCACCAGAUCCAAAUGACCCAGAGAUUAUAGAAAUGAACAAGCUCCGAGCCUCUCUAGGGUUGAAACCACUGAAGUAGUAACCUUGAUGUAAUGCACCUGAUGUUUGAGCGCCUUUAGCUUUAGCUUGAAACCAUGAUUUUUCUGACGACUUAAGCAGUACCGCCUGUCAAAGAGUACAGCGUAGGUGUAAUUACCUGUUUCCAUAUUAUUACUUCGCUGUAACGGUAUGUGUCUGCAUCUCCCCACAUUUUUUUUUGGAGCGCAAGUCAUGUUCUUAGCGAUGCUCUAUGCUUGAUUUGAUUAUACCUUCGAGUGGUGACGGCUUUAAUAAAUGCAGGUUCCGAUAUUUCCCAUUAC